rnacentral:rRNA from 1 species
GCCCAGACUCCUACGGGAGGCAGCAGUGGGGGAUAUUGCACAAUGGGGGAAACCCUGAUGCAGCGACGCCGCGUGAGUGAAGAAGUAUUUCGGUAUGUAAAGCUCUAUCAGCAGGGACGAAAAUGACGGUACCUGACUAAGAAGCCCCGGCUAACUACGUGCCAGCAGCCGCGGUAAUACGUAGGGGGCAAGCGUUAUCCGGAUUUACUGGGUGUAAAGGGAGCGUAGGCGGCCAUGCAAGUCAGAAGUGAAAACCCGGGGCUCAACCCUGGGAGUGCUUUUGAAACUGUGCGGCUAGAGUGUCGGAGGGGUAAGUGGAAUUCCUAGUGUAGCGGUGAAAUGCGUAGAUAUUAGGAGGAACACCAGUGGCGAAGGCGGCUUACUGGACGAUGACUGACGCUGAGGCUCGAAAGCGUGGGGAGCAAACAGGAUUAGAUACCCGCGUA